CAGAGUUUCUGUGGGAGUGUGCAUCAUUUGUUCUGUGGCUUUGGAACGAAUCAUUUUCUCUUUGGCUCUCACAGCAUCUGGAUUAUGGUCGUGGCUCACGUAAAAUCCCUGCAUUAUUGAUUACGGGAAAAACUGGCUAAGAAGGCGUCUUCUUCUGUGACAGUGACAAUCGCUGAGCCUGGGAUGAAUGGGAGCCAUCUCAGGAGAAACAUGACAUCCCAACAACCCAGCUGCUGCCCCAGUCUGUUUAUGUGAGAUCUUUCACUCAGGGCGAAGAGACGACCGCUCAGAAUGUCCUCCCACAAGCACAGCUUUCAGUGCUUCAACGCUGUAGGACAUGAAGACUCGCGCGGGUCAUCUCUGCAUCACCCGACUCGCCUCCCCACGAUUCCUCAGCAUGGCAUGGUGGCCCAUCAUGAACCCGAGAAAGUAUGUUGUCUUUGCUCCGAGUACAGACACCUUCAGGCCCUGGAGACCUUAAAGACGGGGGUUUCACCUUUGCAUUACAAUCUUGCACCAUGUCAAACUCACCAUCUGCACCACUGUGUUCAUGGAAGGCCUGUCAGGCCUGAGGAGGCACAUUCAGGCCCAGAACGACAAGUUCAUCAUCAUCAUCCUCAUCAUUACAGGCACAGUAAGAGGGUGGUGCUAGUGAAGAACAGCGACCCUUCCAUCAGCAAAACCAUCGUUCUGCACCGCAGGAGUAUACGCAGUUUGGGGCUUUUCUUAGAGGAAGUGUCUGAGCUCAUGCAGUACCACGUCAGGAAGCUCUACACUGCA